AGGUAGUCCUACCAUGGUUCAAGUGGC
rnacentral:piRNA from 1 species